UUUCCGUAGGUGAACCUGCGGAAGGAUCAUUCAUAAUAAGUGUUUUAUGGCACUUUUUUAAAUCCAUAUCCACCUUGUGUGCAAUGUCAGGGUUGACUUUUCUCUCGUGAGGAUCAGCCCCAAACACCAACUAUAUCUCAACUCUUUGUCUGAAAAAGAUUAUGAAUAUAACAAUUCAAAAUACAACUUUCAACAACGGAUCUCUUGGUUCUC
rnacentral:misc_RNA from 1 species